rnacentral:tRNA from 1 species
UCCCAGGUGGCUCAGUGGUAGAGAAUUUGCUUGCCAAUGAAGAAGACCCAGGUUUGAUCCCUGGGUUGGGAA